GACGAACGCUGGCGGCAGGCUUAACACAAGCAAGUCGAACGGAGAGGCGGACGGGUGAGUAAGGACUAGGAAUCUGCCUGGUCGUGGGGGAUAUCGUUCGGUAAUGGGCGCUAAUACCGCAUACUCUCAGAAGAGCCUAGGUCGGAUUAGGGAGGUGGUGGGGUAAAGGCCUACCCAGGCGACGAUCCCUAACUGGUCUGAGAGGAUGACCAGUCACACUGGAACUGAGACACGGUCCAGACUCCUACGGGAGGCAGCGGUGGGGAAUAUUGGACAAGGGGCGCAAGCCUGAUGCAGCCAUGCCGCGUGUGUGAAGAAGGUCUUCGGGUUGUAAAGCACUUUAAGUGGGGAGGCUUUACCAACAGAAUAAGCACCGGCUAACUCCGUGCCAGCAGCCGCGGUAAUAC
rnacentral:rRNA from 1 species